GUGAGUGCCUGCCCAUCAGAUAGAUACCUGAUCUUGCAAGACCGUCAUCAAAAGUCUCACUUUUGCUGUCUUCUGCGUUUCUAAAUCCAUUCUUUGGGUUCGGGCGAGUGAGUUUGUUUCUCACAGUAAGCUCUAGAACUUUGUGACUUAGCAGUUUAAGGAAAAAGCAAGUCUCUGUGGGGUCUCUCAAUGGCCAAAAAAUAGAGUGAGGAAUAAAUAGAGUUUUGUUUUGUUUUGUUUUGGUUUGUGGGUUUUGUUUCUUUGUUUGAAACAGGGUCUCACUCUGUCACCCAGGCUGAAGUGCAGUGGCACCAUCACAGAUCACUGCAGACUCCACCUCCUGGGCUCAAGCAAUCCUCCUGUCUCAGCCUCCCGAGUAGCUGGAACUCCCAAGUAACACACACAUUAGCAUGCCCAGCUAAUGUUUAAAUUAGGGUUUUAAUUCACAGAGAAAUAAAGAGCAUCUGAGCAUUCAUCUUCCA
ensembl:lncRNA novel transcript